CACGUGCCCUUUUAGAUGCCUGUACUUAGUCACAGAGCUCCAUCAAUGCUCUCGGGCGUCGAUUCGCCAAGGUGACGUACAGUGAACACUUUACUAUGCUCUCGGGCGUCUUUUUCGCCGUGGUGAUACACUGAUCACAGAGCCAACAUAAACAAUUCAAUAUGCUCUCGGGCGUCUUUUUCGCCGUGGUGAUACACUGAUCACAGAGCCAACAUAAACAAUUCAAUAUGCUCUCGGGCGUCUUUUUCGCCGUGGUGAUACACUGAUCACAGAGCCAACAUAACCAAUUCAAUAUGCUCUCGGGCGUCUUUUUCGCCGUGGUGAUACACUGAUCACAGAGCCAACAUAAACAAUUCAAUAUAAUCAACCACUAAACUCAC
rnacentral:lncRNA from 1 species